rnacentral:piRNA from 1 species
UACCUCAUGGCAGGGANCGGAUCACUGAGG